UACGUAGGGUGCAAGCGUUAAUCGGAAUUACUGGGCGUAAAGCGCACGUAGGCGGAUCGAUCAGUCAAGGGUGAAAUCCCAGGGCUCAACCCUGGAACUGCCUUUGAUACUGUCGAUCUGGAGUAUGGAAGAGGUGAGUGGAAUUCCGAGUGUAGAGGUGAAAUUCGUAGAUAUUCGGAGAACACCAGUGGCGAAGGCGGCUCACUGGCCCGAUACUGACGCUGAGGCACGAAAGCGUGGGGAGCAAACAGG
rnacentral:rRNA from 1 species